UACGAACUGUGCGAUCGUUAUUCGGAAUCACUGGGCUUAAAGGGUGCGUAGGCGGCUGCCUAAGUCAGGUGUGAAAUCUCUCGGCUCAACCGGGAAACUGCGCUUGAUACUGGGCGGCUCGAGUGAGGUAGGGGUGUGUGGAACUUCCGGUGGAGCGGUGAAAUGUGUAGAUAUCGGAAGGAACGCCAGCAGCGAAAGCGGCACACUGGGCCUUUUCUGACGCUGAGGCACGAAAGCCAGGGGAGCGAACGGG
rnacentral:rRNA from 1 species